UACGGGGGGGGCAAGCGUUGUUCGGAAUUACUGGGCGUAAAGCGUGCGCAGGCGGUUUUGCAAGACCGAUGUGAAAUCCCCGGGCUUAACCUGGGAAUGGCAUUGGUGACUGCACGGCUAGAGUGUGUCAGAGGGGGGUAGAAUUCCACGUGUAGCAGUGAAAUGCGUAGAGAUGUGGAGGAAUACCGAUGGCGAAGGCAGCCCCCUGGGAUAACACUGACGCUCAUGCACGAAAGCGUGGGGAGCAAACAGG
rnacentral:rRNA from 1 species